UUUGAUCCUGGCUCAGGAUGAACGCUGGCGGCGUGCCUAACACAUGCAAGUCGAACGGGGAUAUAUUGGAAUGAGGAUUCGUCUGAAGGAAAAUGUAUCUUAGUGGCGGACGGGUGAGUAACGCGUGGGCAACCUACCGUAUACAGGGGGAUAACACUUAGAAAUAGGUGCUAAUACCGCAUAAGCGCACAGCAGUGCAUACUGGAGUGUGAAAAGCCGAGACGGUAUACGAUGGGCCCGCGUCUGAUUAGCCAGUUGGCAGGGUAACGGCCUACCAAAGCGACGAUCAGUAGCCGGCCUGAGAGGGCGGACGGCCACAUUGGGACUGAGACACGGCCCAGACUCCUACGGGAGGCAGCAGUGGGGGAUAUUGCACAAUGGGGGGAACCCUGAUGCAGCGACGCCGCGUGAGUGAAGAAGUAAUUCGUUAUGUAAAGCUCUAUCAGCAGGGAAGAAUAAAUGACGGUACCUGAGUAAGAAGCCCCGGCUAACUACGUG
rnacentral:rRNA from 1 species